GACGGAGGAUGCAAGCGUUAUCCGGAAUUAUUGGGCGUAAAGCGUCCGCAGGUGGCUGUUCAAGUCUGCUGUCAAAGCGCAGAGCUUAACUCUGUACAGGCGGUGGAAACUGAAGAGCUAGAGUAUGGUGGGGGUAGAGGGAAUUCCCGGUGUAGCGGUGAAAUGCGUAGAUAUCGGAAGGAACAUCAGUGGCGAAAGCGACUUCCUGGACCAGUACCGACGUUCAGGCACGAAAGCGUGGGGAGCAAACAGG
rnacentral:rRNA from 1 species